UAAAGAAUUUCGGUUAUCGAUGGGGAUGCGUUCCAUUAGUUAGUUGGCGGGGUAACGGCCCACCAAGACGACGAUGGAUAGGGGUUCUGAGAGGAAGGUCCCCCACAUUGGAACUGAGACACGGUCCAAACUCCUACGGGAGGCAGCAGUGAGGAAUAUUGGUCAAUGGACGAGAGUCUGAACCAGCCAAGUAGCGUGAAGGAUGACUGCCCUAUGGGUUGUAAACUUCUUUUAUAUGGGAAUAAAACAGGGUAUGCAUACCCUCUUGUAUGUACCAUAUGAAUAAGGAUCGGCUAACUCCGCGCCAGCAGCCGCGGUAAUACGGAGGAUCCGAGCGUUAUCCGGAUUUAUUGGGUUUAAAGGGAGCGUAGGUGGAUUGUUAAGUCAGUUGUGAAAGUUUGCGGCUCAACCGUAAAAUUGCAGUUGAAACUGGCAGUCUUGAGUACAGUAGAGGUGGGCGGAAUUCGUGGUGUAGCGGUGAAAUGCUUAGAUAUCACGAAGAACUCCGAUUGCGAAGGCAGCUCACUAGACUGCAACUGACACUGAUGCUCGAAAGUGUGGGUAUCAAACAGGAUUAGAUACCCUGGUAGUCCACACAGUAAACGAUGAAUACUCGCUGUUUGCGAUAUACAGUAA
rnacentral:rRNA from 1 species